CACAUUACACCCCUACCUUUGCCUCUAUUAAGUAGUUUUGAUGGUAAGAUGAUAGUUGGACUAACUUCAAAGGAUAAGGUUUUUCAUUCACUGUUUUUUCUACAACUGUAGCAAGUAACAUUACAUUGUAGUGUUAUGGUUCUCUUCCUAGUAAAUUUUGAGGAAACACUAAUAUGUCCCUUUCAGUUGGGUUGAAGAUGCUGUAUUGGCUAAUGUGAAGGAAGAUAAACAGGGAUGCACUUGGUUUGUAGUACAGAAAAAAUAAAGAGAGACUGGAGAGAGAGAUGGAGAUCAAGAGGAUCAGAGACGAACUUCUUGCUAAAGCAAAAGAAAAUGAUUCCCCGGCAUAAACAUUUCGCUAUCCUACUCUGUAAUAUUUAAAAUUUGUUUUGAAGUUUUCCUUCUAGCGACACCAAGAGAUCUCUCUCAGAGAUAUGAAACAAGCUUUGCCAAUAUAUUCUGGUAAUAAGCAAGGCAGGUUUUACCGUCAUAACUGACCAUUUGUUACUGUGUUAUCGUGGGACCGAUUGUUGAUUACUCGUCAUAUUUGCAUUCGCACAUGUGUUUCUGCAUACGAUAUAUACUACAAUUCAGGCCCCUUGUGUGAA